rnacentral:rRNA from 1 species
GAUGAACGCUGGCGGCGUGCCUAAUACAUGCAAGUCGAGCGAACGGACGCGAAUCUUGCUUCUCUGUUGUUAGCGGCGGACGUGUGUGUAACAUGUGUAUAACCUACCUAUCUGUCUGGGAUAACUUCGGGACACCGGAGCUAAUACCGGAUAAUAUUUUGAACCGCAUGGUUCAAUAGUGAAAGUCGGUCUUUCUGUCACUUAUAGAUGGAUCCGCGCUGCAUUAGAUAGUUGGUAAGGUAACGGCUUAUCACGGCAACGAUGCAUAGCCGAGCUGAGAGGGUGAUCGGCCACACUGGAGCGGAGACGCGGUCCAGACUCCUACGGGAGGCAGCAGUAGGCAAUCUGACGCAAUAGGCGAAAGCCUGACGGAGCAACGGGACGUGAGUGAUGAAGGUCUUCGGAUCGUAAAACUCUGUUAUUAGGGAAGAACAUAUGUGUAAGUAACUGUGCACAGCUUGACGGUACCUAAUCAGAAAGCCACGGCUAACUACGUG